UGACGAAGCGACGCCGCGUGCGGGAAGAAGGCCUUCGGGUUGUAAACCGCUGUCGGGAGUUAAGAAAUGCAAGGAUGUUAAUAGCGUUCUUGCUUGACUAAGGCUCCGGAGGAAGCCACGGCUAACUCUGUGCCAGCAGCCGCGGUAAUACAGAGGCGGCAAGCGUUGUUCGGAAUUAUUGGGCGUAAAGAGCACGUAGGCGGCUAUGUAAGGCGGUUGUGAAAGCCUUCCGCUCAACGGAAGAACAGCAUCCGAUACUGCAUGGCUUGAGUGCGGGAGGGGAGAGUGGAACUUCUGGUGGAGCGGUGGAAUGCGUAGAUAUCAGAAGGAACGCCGGCGGCGAAAGCGACUCUCUGGCCCGCAACUGACGCUGAGUGUGCGAAAGCUAGGGGAGCAAACGGGAUUAGAUACCCCGGUAGUCCUAGCCGUAAACGAU
rnacentral:rRNA from 1 species